CCCUACGGGUGGCAGCAGUGAGGAAUAUUGGUCAAUGGGCGCGAGCCUGAACCAGCCAAGUAGCGUGAAGGAUGACUGCCCUACGGGUUGUAAACUUCUUUUAUAAAGGAAUAAAGUGAGGCACGUGUGCCUUUUUGUAUGUACUUUAUGAAUAAGGAUCGGCUAACUCCGUGCCAGCAGCCGCGGUAAUACGGAGGAUCCGAGCGUUAUCCGGAUUUAUUGGGUUUAAAGGGAGCGUAGAGGGGUUGUUAAGUCAGUUGUGAAAGUUUGCGGCUCAACCGUAGAAGUGCAAUUGAUACUGGGAGGGUUGAGUACAGUUGAGGGAGGCGGAAUGCGUGGUGUAGCGGUGGAAUGGUUAGAU
rnacentral:rRNA from 1 species